UCUACGAUUCUGGAUUUCUCAAAAAAAAAAAAAAAAAAAAAUCUACGAUUCUGGCAUCGCCGCAUCGGGCGCUCCUGGGGCAUCGCCGCCCAUCGCAGGUCGCCGCCGAUCGGUCCUCGGCAGCGCCGGCCAACCGCCAACGGCGCACUGGCCUGCGCACACUCGUCAGCAAAUCGGCUUCACGGUGGCAAUUGCAACAGCGAACCCAUCAAAACUUGGCAGUGCUAGUUGGCAACAAAAGAGGCGCUAGAGAAUUAAGGUGAUUUUUAUGCAUUAUUAUGCUUAAGUUUAUAACCCCGCAAAUAAAAAAGAACAUUCAAAUUUACAAGUAUCCGCCAUCCACUAUCUAAUAUGCAUAACUUUUGGUUUGUAGAGUUAUAUGUAUGAAAGAUGAAGAAUGUGAUCAAUCCUCCUUGUUCUUGCAACGUAACUAAAUUGCUAGAGAUGUUUUCGCUACAAAGAACAAUUUGUAGCUUCAUUAUCAUUAUUGUGAAAUUUUAUGUCUUAAAUCGUUGCACUACAAUUUUUUUUUUUUACCAUGCAUACCCAUGUCAGGAAACCUUCUCCGCCACUAAUUCCAGGAGCUCAGUGAAGGGACACACAUCAGCCAUGAAACUUCAUCACAAACACUUAGCAUAUGGAAAACACGAGUGUCACCAAUAACUUCAUAAAGAAACACCAGUAUUAUGAAUUAUUACGAGUAGCCAACCAUAUGAGAAAAGUGCAGCUCCUGUAUUUGAGAAAAUUGGCAAUGUGACAAGGAAGCAGUGUAGGGAAACAUGUAUCGAUUUAACCAAAUAAUAAGGGAAUAUCUGGCAAUAGAGUAGAAGGAAACAGAAUAGAGAUAUCACAUGCCACACAAAUCUCCUGUUGUAAUCCUCGGUUGUAAUCCUCAAACCCCCCCUCUUUUGAGUGGUAAUAUAUUCAGGUGGGGAAGCUCUCCCCCCCCGGUGACCGUUCAAAAAAACAUGCCACACAAAGGAUUAUUCACAGCAUAUUCACAUAAACUUCAUGAUUUUUUAAGAUGAACCAACUUCAUGGUUUCUUCUCACUUAAGAUGGUAAUCAUGCAAAAAAUGGUUUUCCAACAUAAGAAAUGGUGAACCUAACUACUCAAGUAUUGAUGUAUAUGGGGUGUGUUGCCGAACAGGCCCUAGUAUCCUUUACAAUUAACAUGUAUCACAUAUGUGUCUCAGAUAUAUAAGGACAACUACACAGUAAGGGCACCCAAAUCAAAUCAAAUAAAGCCUGACCAAGAUCCUCCACAUAGAUCAUGAUAGGGAUGAAAAAG